UACGUAGGGGGCAAGCGUUGUCCGGAAUCAUUGGGCGUAAAGAGCGUGUAGGCGGCUCGAUAAGUCUGCUGUGAAAGUCCAGGGCUCAACCCUGGAAGGCCGGUGGAAACUGUCGGGCUAGAGUCCGGAAGAGGCGAGUGGAAUUCCCGGUGUAGUGGUGGAAUGCGUAGAUAUCGGGAGGAACACCAGUGGCGAAGGCGGUUACCUGGAGCUUUGCUGACGCUGAUGCGCGAAAGCGUGGGGAGCGAUCCGG
rnacentral:rRNA from 1 species